rnacentral:rRNA from 1 species
UACAGAGGGUGCGAGCGUUAAUCGGAAUUACUGGGCGUAAAGGGCGUGUAGGUGGAUUUGUAAGUUUGAUGUGAAAGCCCCGGGCUUAACCUGGGAAUUGCGUUGAAGACUGCAAGACUAGAGUUGGACAGAGGGUGGUGGAAUUUCCGGUGUAGCGGUGAAAUGCGUAGAGAUCGGAAAGAACAUCCGUGGCGAAGGCGGCCACCUGGGUCCAAACUGACACUGAGGCGCGAAAGCGUGGGGAGCAAACAGG